AUGGUUCAUCACAUCACCAUAUUACCAUCAUGCAUGCUAUCUUCUUCUGUGAUGGACAUUUUAACUGACCACCAAUGUUAUGUAUAUCUUAUUUUAAUGAAAAAAAAAAAAUAUAUAUAUAUAUGUAUAGUAUUUAUUUUUAUUAUUUUUUUCACACUUGAGGUUAACCUUAUGAAGAAAAUAGCAUGUUGUUGGCUAGACUAGGCCUUCCAUUGAAAUUAUGAGUCAAAAGGGAAAAUUAUUAAAUUACCCCACAGAGCCAAUUUUUGUAUCUCAGUUUUCAUGACCCUACUGUGUGACUGUUUACUGAUGUCUACUUUUCAAUAAACUGCUACCUGAACAGCAAAAACAGUUUAGAACAAAAUAUUGACAAUUAAGGAACAAUCACAGACAGCAUACAGAGUGCAUACAAUGGAAGAAGAGACAACAAUCAAAGUGGUACAGGUUUCCAAGUGGCAGAAUGAUGUGACUUAGAAGCAGCAUCAUAUUUCAUAAUGCAGAAUCAGCAGACAUGUACAGGUGGAAUAGUCUUCCAGUGGGGGAAAGAAAAGAUGCUGGAUGAAUAAUGAAUGAAAAUGAAAAACAUUACAGGAAAAAAAUGAAAUGACAAAAUUAUUAGCAUAUUGCAGGGUUUUAUAACUUGUCACAUGGUCAAUGGAAAACAGAACAGACCAGAUAUAUAUCCACAUUUGACCACCAUUACAUGUUUCAACAUCAAGGUUAACAAAAAGACGUAAUUAUUCCAGUGAAAUCAACGGUCCAGAAGCAGCCUAGCCCUUCUAAAUGAUCUCUAAACGCUUCCACCAGAGCUAAAUUGUAUAUUUAAACCACAAGACCAGUGAAGUUGAGCUAGUCUGGACCAGAAAUAGCACCGGCGAGUUCACAGUCUAACUGAGGUCUACACAAAUCAACCCAAAAAAAGAAAAAAAGGAGUGUGUCCUAAAGUACAUCUGCUGCAACACACUGAAUGUAAACAUUUACAGACAUUUACAGCAAUCACCUCGCACUCAGCAAACAUCUGUUUUGUAAACCCUUAGCUCUGCUAGUGCUUUCAUAUUAAUGGGAGACAUCUAAUUCUAUGGAAACACCUUCAUUCUGAAGCGAAACAACAGAAUGUAAUGUUAAAAGGAAAGCAGGUACAACACAAAUAUGAACAUAAAACAACUAUUAAGUGCUAUAGUUGGUAUAAACACUAAAACCUCUGCAAAACAGGACAAAAAAAUAUUUUUUAGCUCACUCAAUUUGUAAUAAAGGCUAAUUUAGUAUAUUAACCAACAUAUCUACAUAGCAUUCGUUUUAUUUUUAACAAUAUUUGAAUUCAAAUAAAAACUAGUGUAAAAUUACUAAAUGUAACCUGUUCUCGUCUGAAGACAUUUCAGUGAAAAACAGACUGAAGAAUGAUCAUUUCCUCACUUUCUUUAGUCUUUGUCACAUGGUCAGUCACUACACAUGCUGCUCUUGAACUGUAUGUUUAUGUGCAUGGCAGGACAGACACAUCACACACAUUACAGCAUGUGUGGACAGGAACGGUCAAUGUACCACACAUUGUUUUCUAUUUUCACAUUUUGUGAAUAUGCUACACUCGAGUACCUAUCACUGGCAGUGUACUGAGGAUAUUCAGCAGCAGAGUGGGAAAAGCCCUUCUUUAACUACAUUGUGUGAGAGUCACAGGUUUCUGCUUGUUGUCUGGCAGUAAUGUGUCUCAUGAGUGAUAUCUGGCCUACACUAGCUGACAAACUGCCUUUAGAACUUAAGAUCAAGCAGGUUUUGUUUCUUCAAGAAACUGUAUAAAAGGGCAAAUCUCACAAAAAAACAAAAAAAAAGUAUCUACUGUAGGUUACAUUUCAUCAUAAAAUCAAAAGAAAAACAUCAUUUAUUAAAAUUAUUGUAAUGUAACUGCAUAUUAUAUUCAAUUAUAUUAAAUAUAGUAUUCAAUUAUAUUACAAUAAUUUGUAAUUAUGUUACAAUAUAAAUAAUUACAAUCAUUUGUAAUGACCCACACUAGCUGACAAACGGUCUUCUAUAAGUUAAGAUAAAUCAGGUUUUGCUUCUUAAAAUCUCUUUAAACUGUAUAAAACAGCAAAUCUCACAAAAAAAAUUUCACAUUUCACUCUAAAAUCAAAUGAACUAUUGAUUAAUAAAUCAAAUUAAUUAACUAUUGAUCAAAAUAAUUAUUAAAAUAAUUGUAAUAAAAUUUAAUUGUAUAUAUAACAUAAUACAAAUUAAGCCUAAUUUAAGUCUGCUGAUAUGUUUUGUAUUGUGGCAUUAUUUUAAUAAUAUUUUGAUGAACUGACAAUUAGACAAUUAUAACAUAAAAUGGAUUAAAAACAUCAUGUCUGGCCACAAUGGCUUUUUUUUUUCAAUCAAAUUAACAAAUACUAAGCAGUACAGCAAAUCCUGCCAUGAUUUACUUAAUUCAGUUUAUUUAUUUUUUACAUUUCCAUAAUUAGGAUGCAUUUUUUUUUUAUACUAAAGUAGGCUGAAAAUUAAGGUUGGAUGAAAGAUCAAAUAAGAUCACAAUGCAAACCAUCUUAAAGGAAUAGUUCUCUCACACACACACACACACACACACACACACACAUUAAAAAAUUACUCACCCUUCUUAACUUGGAGAAAUUUUUCAUUACAUCACUUGCUUAGCAGUGGAUGCUCUGCAGUGAAUGGGUGCUGUCAGAAUGAGAGUCCAAACAGCUGAUAAAAACAUCACAAUAAUCCACAUCACUCCAGUCCAUCAGUUAAUGUCUUGUGAAGCCAAAAGCUGCAUGUUUGUAAGAAACAAAUCCAUCAUUAAGGCAUUUUAACUUUAAACUGUCCCUUCUGGACUAAAUCUGAUUUCAUAAUCCAUAAUAAAGCUUCCUCCAGUAAAAAAAAACUCCAUCCCGUGUCUUCACACCAAAAUACACUGACAGAUUUGAUUAGAGCUGUUUUGGAUUGUUUUUGCCUUUAUUAAACAGUGCUUAAUCUGUGCAUACUCCUCUCCUGAUUCAGAUGAGACAACUUUUUAACCGGAGAAAGCAAUGGACAAAAUGUUAAAAAUGUCUUAAUGAAGGAUUUGCUUCUUACAAACAUGCUGUUUUUCACUUUACAAAACGUUAAGUGAUGGACUGGAGUCGUAUGGAUUACUUGUGGAUUAUUGUGAUGUUUUUAUCAGCUGUUUGGACUCUCAUUCUGACGGCACCCAUUCACUGCAGAGCAUCCAUUAGUGAGCAAGUGAUGCAAUGCUACAUUUCUUCAAAUCUGUUCCCAUGAAGAAACAAUCUCAUCUACAUUUCGGGUUGACAUUCUAGGUUGAACCAUUCCUUUAAUGAUCUUAUUUUAGUGUGAAAUGCAAACCUGACAGAUUCUGUGAGAUUCACCCUAACAAGGCCAGUUCUGCAGCUGCACAAUCACAAAAUGUAAAAUAUGCUGUCCAACUUUUUUUCUCUCUUUUUUUUUUAACAAAAUAUCUGUUAAAUAAGAGAAACAGGGCACGGAAUCUUUCACUAAACUACCGACAAAAACUCCUCAAUAAACCAAAUAUUUAAAUUAAAAACACUGUAUAUAGUAUUACGGUAGUAACAGACAAUACAGAACCCAUUUAAUGAUAGUAAUUAAUGUCCUUAAUAAGACAUUUUGCUAUAAAACUUUUGAUCCUAAACUAUGUACAGUACUAAUUCGAUUUACAGGACAUAUUCAUAAAAAUAUACUGUGUGAAAAGGUACUAUUGCAAUGAAACUGGAGUAUAAUUUACAGUAAGUGUUUGUACAAUGGUCAACCUCACUACAAUGAUAUGAAAAAGCUGAAACAUUUCACCCCAAAAAUAAAAACUCAUUGUCAUUGUUUACGCAUCCAAACCCAGAAUCCUCAAAAAUAUCUCGAUUUUUUUUUUUUCUAGCUUUAAACUUAACAAAGAAGUCACAACAGAAUUUGAAACAUUUCACCCCAAAAAUAAAAACUCAUUGUCAUUGUUUACGCAUCCAAACCCAGAAUCCUCAAAAAUAUCUCGAUUUUUUUUUUUUCAGCUUUAAAACUACAAAAGAGUCACAACAGAAUUUUCAUUUAUAGGUGAACUUUUCCUUUAAGUAAAGAGACUAAACAAAUUUGAAUAUAAUAUGAAUAAUAUAAUAAAUGAGGUCCACUUAAAGCUGCAGUGUAAAAGUUUCUGAUUCUGAAAUGUUUAUAAAAAUUGAUAUAAGAGCGUUCACAUGGACGAUCAGCUCUCUUUUAAUAUUGUACUGUUCUACAGCACUAUACGAGUAAAUUCUAAAGAUCUAAAGUGAGAAAGUGACGGAUGAUUUUAACAACACAGCUGAAACUGAGCAGAACUGUGAUGGAAGAUGAGAUGGGACAACAAACAUCUGUGUUAGGUUUCUGUUAACUCUGUGCGCACUCUGUUUCCACUUAGAAGGGAAUGGAGUAAUUAACUCUCACAUUAAGAACGGAAAAUCGAUUUACUAAAAACUAAGAGCCUUUCAUUUUCAUCAAUAUGAUGACAUUGAGAGUGUUAUGUGUCCAGUCCUGAAGAUGAGCUGUUUUGCUGUUAAAAUGCAAUCAAUAAAACCAGCUGAACACAUGACUACAGUACACCCGAAGGAGUUUGGAGAAAAAACACCUGCAUAGUAUUUACGGGGAUCAGAGGGCUGCAGAGAGGCAUUGUGGGAUAAAUAUCAGCAGCAGGCUCAGCACUAUGUGUCACCAGUGGAUGGACACACACCUGCCUCUGGAUUACCUGAAGAAAAAAAAAAAAGGUUUAAAUGAGCAAAGCACAGACAAUAACAAAGACAAAAAAUAAAUACAAAAAUAUGAACGCACACACACACACACACACACACACAUAUAUAU
rnacentral:lncRNA from 1 species